GCCCGGAUGGCGGAAUCGGUAGACGCACUGGACUCAAAAUCCAGCGCCCGCAAGGGUGUGCGGGUUCGACCCCCGCUCCGGGUA
rnacentral:tRNA from 1 species